GAUCAAUGAUGAAAAUAACCAAAUCUGAGCAUCAGAAGGAUCCGCUGGUGCAUGAUCUCCAGUUCUGAGA